UACGUAGGGUGCAAGCGUUGUCCGGAAUUAUUGGGCGUAAAGAGCUCGUAGGCGGUUUGUCGCGUCGAAUGUGAAAACCCGGGGCUCAACCCCGGGCCUGCAUUCGAUACGGGCAGACUAGAGUUCGGUAGGGGAGUCUGGAAUUCCCGGUGUAGCGGUGAAAUGCGCAGAUAUCAGGAGGAACACCGGUGGCGAAGGCGGGACUCUGGGCCGAUACUGACGCUGAGGAGCGAAAGCGUGGGGAGCAAACAGG
rnacentral:rRNA from 1 species